ensembl:lncRNA
CCAGUCCAGUCACUCAGCCCUAUCCAGACCAUUCACCCAGUCCAGUCACUCAGCCCUAUCCAGACCAUUCACUCAGCCCUAUCCAGACCAUUCACCCAGUCCAGUCACUCAGCCCUAUCCAGACCAUUCACCCAGUCCAGUCACUCAGCCCUAUCCAGACCAUUCACCCAGUCCAAUCACUCAGCCCUAUCCAGACCAUUCACCCAGCCCAGUCACUCAGCCCUAUCCAGACCAUUCACCCAGUCCAACCAUUCAGCCCUAUCCAGACCAUUCACCCAGUCCAGUCACUCAGCCCUAUCCAGACCAUUCACCCAGUCCAGUCACUCAGCCCUAUCCAGACCAUUCACCCAGUCCAGUCACUCAGCCCUAUCCAGACCAGUCACUCAGCCCUAUUCAGACCAUUCACUCAGUCCUAUCCAGGAAAUUCACACAGUCCAGUCACUCAGCCCUAUCCAGACCAUUCACACAGUCCAGUCACUCAGCCCUAUCCAGACCAUUCACCCAGUCCAGUCACUCAGCCCUAUCCAGACCAUUCACCCAGUCCAGUCAC